GAGCAAAUAAGAAAAUAUGUUUUAAUUGUGGGGAUGCUGCUGUGCUAAACAAAGCUUUGGAGGUAAAUUAGCAGCAUAGCUCAUUUUUUAGCCAUUGCUGUCAGUCUCCUUUAGACAAGU
rnacentral:snoRNA from 1 species